UGUCCCCACUCACAGGAGAGCUCCAGGACCAGGGACAGUGCUGGCCCCACUCACCACUCACAGGAGAGCUGCAGGACCAGGGACAGCGCCGGCCCCACUCACAGCCAUGGAAUUCUGCACAUCUGGCUGAUGAAGCUGAUGAAACAGGACAGCAUCGCUACUUUACCUGGGCUGCUGGUCCUCAGCAUGGUGUCCAGGAGGACGAGGGAGAGCGCGUGCGGGCGGAUGGCUCCGCAGUAGAGACGCAAGGUUAUACGAGGCAGACAGACGGGGGGAGCAGCGGCGUUCAGAAAGACGGAUUAUCCCGCCACCGUCGGCCUGCGCUGCUCCUGAGAGGAUAAUGCAAUCUAGCGAGGAAAUUCUACCAGGAAUGAAAGAAAAACAUGGCUGCUGCGCCGGCUGUGUCCGAUGUGUAAAUGAAUAAAUAUUACUUUCCCAUCCCGCCUGAUUACGCGCUCGCCUUCCCUGACCCCCCCAGCAGCACGAUGUCUGGGGACCGGGGCGAGAAUCUCAGCGUGCCGCUGGAAUGAUUAGGAUUGGCCAGCGGGAGUCACACUGGGGCCGCCCUCUUUAGGGCCCGCCUCCGAGUCGACUGGAGAAAAAUAAUUUCAGUCUGUUUGUGCAGGUUCUGCGAUCCUCAAUCCAGAACUACACUGUAGUCCUUUCCCAAUGUCACAGUGAGCAGGUUGGCUAUCUGUGCGAACAGUGGUGUAAUCAGUGUAGUUUACCUGAUUUGUGAUCUUUAGUGGUAAUGAGGGGAAAAAUUAUUACUGCCACUGCUUUCAGUAACUGAUCCAUACUAAAUCACACAAACAAUGCUAACUCAUGAAUAAAAUUAUCAUGACCAAAAAGAAGAAUAAAUUUAGACACAACAAAAAGGAUCAAAAGACACUUCAGUCACACAACAAUAAAUUAUAGGCAGACUCAGCUUAGUCACACACAAAUGGCCGUGAGUCACAGAGACACAAUGGCAGCAGCACAAAGCACUGCAUCAAUGCAGGCCAGUUACAGGUCGCCAUGACAACAUGGCAUAUCACAAGGAUGUCAUACCUGUACCUGUUACCUUUAUCACAUGCUUUAAUGUCCACACAUCUGUAUUUGUUACCUCCAUCAUGUGAUUCUGGUUCCACACAUCUGUAUCUGUUACCCCUAUCAUGUGGUUCAGGUGGCACACACCUGUAUCUGUUACCCCUAUCAUGCGAUUCAGGUGGCACACACCUGGUUUUGUGUUCUGGAUGUUCACCACUGGCUGCGGUUCUAGAUUGUGAUCUAGAUCAGUGUAGUUUUGUGCUUUCUGGUGUCUGGAAACCUGCCCAUCAGCACUGCUGUGAUUUAUGGCUGCAUUAUCAGUCUCCUUCAGCUGAUGCUGUCGAGCCUCCGACUGCUGAUUCCUUCACACAAGUGAGCAGGAAUAAAUAAAUGUUCCGCUGGGCUGACAAAGCCUUUGAUUAAUACUGCAAUCCACACAAAGGUAGCAUUACACAGGAGACACAAUGAACUAUGUAUUGCAGUUUUUUUUUUUUAAACAAGCAAUUGUUUGCAAACUUAUAAUUGAGGAGUCAUGGCCACCUGAAAUAAUGCCUUUAAAUAUAAAAUAAUAUAAAAUAAUAUAAUAUAAUAUAAUAUAAUAUAAUUAAUUAAUGUAUAAUCUUGUACAGUAUGCUCACUUUGUUUCUGCUCUCUCCAGUUUUUAGCCUGUUAUCCCUCUCUACCUGUCUCUUAGGUACAGGCAGACAGGUGAGGUCUGUAUUCUACACAGGUGAUGUAUAUCUGCCUCUUUCUCUCCUGCGUGCAUUUUCUCUAUUCCAGAAAUUCCACGGUUGCUGCUCUUAAAAUGCAUCCAGCCUGAAUUCUUGUCCUUGGUCGUCCCGGUUGUUAUUCUCUGUGCUUCCUCAGUGUGUUUGUAUGAGGAGUGUCUCACGGGUCAGAGCUGGCCGCAGUGUGUGGGGG